GUCCUUUAGAUUAGAAUUGAAGGUCUAACCUGCCCACUGAAAUUUAAAUGGCCGCAGUAAUUUGACUGUGCAAAGGUAGCAUAAUCAUUAGUUUUUUAAUUGAAAGCUUGUAUGAAUGGUUGGACGAGAUAUAUACUGUCUUUAAAUUAAACUUAGAAUUUAAUUUUUGAAUUAAAAAGUUCAAAUUUUUAUAAAAGACGAGAAGACCCUAUAGAUCUUUAUAUAAAUUAUUAUAUAUUAUUUUAGGAUUAAUAAUUUAUAUAUAUUAAGUUUAUAUUUUAUUGGGGUAAUAAAAAGAUUUAAAUAAUUCUUUUUUAUUUUAUAUAUUAAUUAAUAGUUUUAAUGAUCCUUUAAUAAAGAUUAAAAGAUUAAGUUACCUUAGGGAUAACAGCGUAAUUUUUUUUGCGAGUUCUUAUCAAUAAAAAAGUUUGCGACCUCGAUGUUGGAUUAAAAUUAAUUUUAGAUGUAGAAGUUUAAAUUUUUAGUCUGUUCGACUAUUAAAAUUUUACA
rnacentral:rRNA from 1 species